rnacentral:rRNA from 1 species
UGGGGAAUUUUGGACAAUGGGGGCAACCCUGAUCCAGCAAUGCCGCGUGUGCGAAGAAGGCCUUCGGGUUGUAAAGCACUUUUGUCCGGGAAGAAAGCCUUUGUGUGAAUAACAUGAGGGGAUGACGGUACUGGAAGAAUAAGCACCGGCUAACUACGUGCCAGCAGCCGCGGUAAUACGUAGGGUGCGAGCGUUAAUCGGAAUGACUGGGCGUAAAGGGUGCGCAGGCGGUUCGUUAAGACAGAUGUGAAAUCCCCGGGCUUAACCUGGGAACUGCAUAUGUGACUGUCGAGCUAGAGUAUGGAAGAGGGGGGUAGAAUUCCACGUGUAGCAGUGAAAUGCGUAGAGAUGUGGAGGAAUACCGAUGGCGAAGGCAGCCCCCUGGUCACAUACUGACGCU